AAGCAACACUCUGGCAGAUGGUCAAAACUGUCUGACACAAUUUGAGCUUACUAGAGCAAGAAAGUCUAACCUAUUCUGGUGUUCUCUUCUCUAUGAGACAAGCUGUUAUAUAGACUUAAACAGU
rnacentral:snoRNA from 1 species